UACGUAGGGGGCAAGCGUUGUCCGGAUUUAUUGGGCGUAAAGAGCGUGUAGGCGGCCACACAGGUCUGCUGUGAAAACUCGAGGCUCAACCUCGAGCUGUCGGUGAAAACCGUGUGGCUAGAGUCCGGAAGAGGAGAGUGGAAUUCCCGGUGUAGCGGUGAAAUGCGUAGAUAUCUGGAGGAACACCGGUGGCGAAGGCGACAUCCUGGACCAACACUGACGCUGAGGAGCGAAAGCCAGGGGAGCAAACGGG
rnacentral:rRNA from 1 species